AGCUGUACCACCCUAUCGUGACUUGAGCCGGAAAUUGGCAUCCGCGGUAUCUCUCGAGUCUCAUGACGACUUUUCUCCCUUUUCUUAAGAUUCUAGCAGCUCAACGCCCGCACGCACGUCACGAAAGCAUGGUAUACAAAAAGCUCAGGCGGAGACAGAUUCUCGGUUGUGAAAUGCAUGGAGUAGCGCCGGAGACUAUUUUAGGGGGAUCAGGGCCUCCGAAUGAAACACGCGAAAGCCGAGAACACCCUCAUGCAGUCGGAACAAAUUCCAUGGAUUGAGUGAUCAUCUGCGGCUGCUUGUAAAAAAUCUAAUCGCACAUGCACAAUUCGCAACUUAACUUUGUCACUUCCUUGUCGAGUUUGACCGGAACGUCAAUUGCAGAUCGCCUUGCCUCUCUUGCUCAAGUACAAACACACAUUACGUAACGUGGAGUUCGCAAUGCAAUAAACAGGCGGUGGACUUUUUGUUUUUGUGUUCCCCUUCAAGUACAAAUUGUACCGAAACUAACAGGGAGAAAGGACGCAUCUGUUUCGUAGGCGGGGCCGCGGAUGCUUCAUGGUGCUAAGUUUAGAACUCACCGAAGCUGUGAUACCAGCCCAUCUUCACGUCGAAGUGUGGGAUUCAAGUGUAGUUUGGCUGGAAAUAGCAUCACGAGCAUUUAUUGUGAAAUGCUUUCGGUCUAUGCCAGGUGAGUGGGAAUCUUGUUACUAUAUGGGAAUGCCAUAACGAUUUGACUAAUUUGUUCUCGAUUAAUUCAGUCAAAACGAGGGGCUCAGCUGGUGUCUGUUUUUCAUGCGUGAUUGUUAUUGUAGAAACAUGCGUGCGGCAUGAGAGAUGACAAAAAUAUGAAAUAAGCUAUUCAGGGCAAAGAUUACGAAGCUCGUUUUCAGCGACAUGUACAGCUUGAACUUAUUAAUGAUGUGAAAGAUGUCUGAUGUUGCAACAUAUUUGCAGACAAUCUGGCGCAUUCUGAAAGAAUUCCGCGAGGGACAUCCGCUCAGACCCAAGCAGUUUUAGUUUGUUUUAUUAAACUAAUUUAUUUUGCAAGUGACGUUCUCGUGGGCCUGAAUCAAACUUGCAGAGCCCAUUCUCAGCACCAAUAAUUGUAUUCAUGGUGGAUAAUACUGAAUGUUGUGUGUUUGGUAGGAAGAAGCGUCAACAGCACUGAUAAAACCUGCUGUCUACAUGUGAAACUCCCAUGGUACCCAAACCCGCAUCAACGUAUUUACCCAGCGAUUUUCAUGGCCCAAUUUCACAAAGAGCUUGACACAACCUCAGGUGGCGGGAAGAGCUUGAAAGGCGAGGUCCGAGCAAGUUUCCGGGACAGAGCCACUACCCUGCAAUGCCGUGAACGAAACGCUUAGUGACCUUCAGCGAUAUUUGCGGCAUGAAACCCUGACUGCGCAUGUGACGCACCCAAAAAACUGUAUACAAGUGGGGAGAUGGCUCAAUAAAGUUGCAAACCUACAGGAUUGUUUUUUUAUUAA